GAGGGUUCUAUAUAUAGAUAGCCGUCAAAUCCCAGGGCUCAACCCUGGACAGGCGGUGGAAACUACCAAGCUGGAGUACGGUAGGGGCAGAGGGAAUUUCCGGUGGAGCGGUGAAAUGCAUUGAGAUCGGAAAGAACACCGUUAAAAAUAAUCAACCAACGUCGACUAUAACCCCUAG
rnacentral:ncRNA from 1 species